rnacentral:rRNA from 1 species
GACGAACGCUGGCGGCGUGCCUAAUACAUGCAAGUAGGACGCAGUUGCGAACGGGAGGGUAACGCGUCGGUAACUACCUAUUGGAGGGGGAUAACUAUUGGAAACGAUAGCUAAUACCGCAUACUAGUAGAUUGAGCUGCGUUGUAUUAGCUAGUAUGUAGGGUAAUGGCCUCCCUAGGCAAAGAUACAUAGCCGACCUGAGGGGGUGGUCUGUCAAACUGGGACUGUAGACCCGCCCAGAAUCCUACGGGAGGCAAGAGUAGGGAAACAUCGCAAAUUGGGGGAAACCUGACCGAGCAACGGCGCGGGAGUGAAGGAGGUUUUCGGGUCGUAAAGCUCUGUUGUGCAGGAAGCGGUACUUAACCAGAAAGGGACGGCUAACUACGUGCCAGCAGCCGCGGUAAUUC